GAUGAAGAACGCAGCGAAAUGCGAUACGUAAUGUGAAUUGCAGAUUUCAGUGAAUCAUCGAAUCUUUGAACGCACAUUGCGCCCGCCAGUAUUCUGGCGGGCAUGCCUGUUCGAGCGUCAUUUCAACCAUCAAGCCUUCGCUUGUGUUGGGGCCCCGCGGCUGCCGCGGCCCCCUAAAUCCAGUGGCGGGCUCGUCGUCGUACCGAGCGCAGUAGACAUCCUCGCUCCGGGAACCCGACGGGUGCCGGCCGUGAAACCCCCCCCAUCAAGGUUGACCUCGGAUCAGGUAGGAAUACCCGCUGAACUUAAGCAUAUCAAUAAGCGGAGGA
rnacentral:misc_RNA from 1 species